rnacentral:misc_RNA from 1 species
GAUGAAGAACGUAGCGAAAUGCGAUAAGUAAUGUGAAUUGCAGAAUUCAGUGAAUCAUCGAAUCUUUGAACGCACCUUGCACUCCUUGGUAUUCCGAGGAGUAUGCCUGUUUGAGUGUCAGUUACUUCUCAUCCCUUCCAGCUUUUUUUCAUAAGAGGCUUUGGCUUUGGGCUUGGAUGUGGAGGUUAUUGUUGGCCUUCUCCUAGGUCAACUCCUCUGAAAUGUAUUAGUGGAAAUGUUUGCAAUCCCUUAACAAGCAUGAUAAUUAUCUAUGCUACUGGGUUGUUCUUACUAGUUCUGCUUCCAACUGUCCCACCCCACUUGGACAAUCAGCACUGAUAUAUGACCUCAAAUCAGGUAGGAUUACCCGCUGAACUUAAGCAUAUCAAUAAGCGGAGGA